GUCCUCCUAAUGCUUACCACAGACAGUGCACCUCAGAGUGUUGUCUGUAUAGAAACAGGAGGUACAUCAACCUUCUCCUAACAUUUGCGCGGUACUUGCUGACAUCUCGUAACGCCACACUGUUUGGGGGGAGACAUUU
ensembl:snoRNA small nucleolar RNA, H/ACA box 51